CCAUGUGAAUGAGUGAAGCUGCCAGCAUGAUCUAGCUUUGAUUCGCUUCUGCUUGUGAAUCCUUGUUAGAUCAUGACUGACAGCCUCAUUUCUUCCCAGC
rnacentral:pre_miRNA from 1 species